AAAAGUAGAAACAUAUUUCA
rnacentral:snRNA from 1 species